GCCGGAGUGGUGAAACUUGGUAGACGCAGGGGACUCAAAAUCCCCCGAGCCUCGGCUCGUGUCGGUUCGAGUCCGACCUCCGGCA
rnacentral:tRNA from 1 species